AGCGAACGCUGGCGGCAGGCUUAACACAUGCAAGUCGAGCGGGCAUCCUUGUGGUGUCAGCGGCAGACGGGUGAGUAACGCGUGGGAACGUGCCCUUCGGUUCGGAAUAACUCGGGGAAACUUGAGCUAAUACCGGAUACGUGCGAGAGCAGAAAGGUUUAUCUGCCGAAGGAUCGGCCCGCGUCUGAUUAGCUAGUUGGUGAGGUUAUGGCUCACCAAGGCGACGAUCAGUAGCUGGUCUGAGAGGAUGAUCAGCCACACUGGGACUGAGACACGGCCCAGACUCCUACGGGAGGCAGCAGUGGGGAAUAUUGGACAAUGGGGGCAACCCUGAUCCAGCCAUGCCGCGUGAGUGAUGACGGCCUUAGGGUUGUAAAGCUCUUUUCUUCGGGACGAUAAUGACGGUACCGGAGGAAUAAGCCCGGGCUAACUUCGU
rnacentral:rRNA from 1 species